AUACGUAGGUGGCAAGCGUUGUCCGGAAUUAUUGGGCGUAAAGCGCGCGCAGGCGGUCUUUUAAGUCUGAUGUGAAAUCACGCGGCUCAACCGUGUGCGGUCAUUGGAAACUGGGAGACUUGAGUGCAGAAGAGAAGAGCGGAAUUCCACGUGUAGCGGUGAAAUGCGUAGAGAUGUGGAGGAACACCAGGGGCGAAGGCGGCUCUUUGGUCUGUAACUGACGCUGAGGCGCGAAAGCGUGGGGAGCAAACAAGAUUAGAUACCCUGGUAGUCCACGCCGUAAACGAUGAGUGCUAAGUGUUAGAGGGUUUCCGCCCUUUAGUGCUGCAGUAAACGCAUUAAGCACUCCGCCUGGGGAGUACGGCCGCAAGGCUGAA
rnacentral:rRNA from 1 species